ensembl:snRNA U6 U6 spliceosomal RNA
GUGCUCACUUCAUCAGUACAUACAUUAAAUUGGAAUGAUAUAGAGAAUAUUAGCAUGUCCUCUGCACAAGGAUGACACCCAAAUUCAUGAAGUAUUCCACAAAAAA